rnacentral:rRNA from 2 species
CACGCCGUAAACGAUGGAUACUAGCUGUUGGGCGCAAGUUCAGUGGCUAAGCGAAAGUGAUAAGUAUCCCACCUGGGGAGUACGUUCGCAAGAAUGAAACUCAAAGGAAUUGACGGGGGCCCGCACAAGCGGUGGAGCAUGUGGUUUAAUUCGAUGAUACGCGAGGAACCUUACCAAGGCUUAAAUGUAGAUUGACAGGUUUGGAAACAGACUUUUCUUCGGACAAUUUACAAGGUGC